ensembl:snRNA U6 U6 spliceosomal RNA
GUGCUCACUUCAGCAGCACAUAUACUAAACUUGGAACACUACAGAGAAGAUAAGCAUAGCCCCUGCACAAGGAUGGCACACAAAUUGAUGAAGCAUUCCAUCUUAUA